GUGUCACAGAAGCAGAAAACACUGGAGAAAUUCGCCCUGAAGCUGGUUUUGAUAAUACAAACACAUUUAGAGUUUCUGUCCAGUAUGUGAACGACCAAGAAGCUAUUUCUGAAGGCGCAUAUAAGGACGAUAAUAUAUUAAUUAGGCCUACUGUAAAGCUUUCAGUGCAAUGCAUGGAGAACCAGAGAGGCCUUCAUGGGCAAACUGUGUAUGAUGAUGUGUCAUACCCCAAUCUAUCUCCAACCUCAGGCUGAGCCAGAUGAUGAUGAAGGCAUUGUAAUCGACACAGAGGAAGA